rnacentral:rRNA from 1 species
UGGGGGAGUAUUGCACAAUGGGGGGAACCCGUGAUGCAGCGACGCCGCGUGGGUGAAGGAGUAUUUCGGUAUGUAAAGCCCUAUCGGCAGGGAAGAAGAAAGACGGUACCUGACUAAGAAGCCCCGGCUAACUACGUGCC